AGAGCGGAGCCUGGCCCCAGAAUUCCCAGGUGUUUUCAUUUGGUGAUCAGCACAAAACACAGAAGACUCACUAUGGAGUUUGGGCUGAGCUGGGUUUUCCUUGUUGUUAUUUUACAAGGUGUCCAGUGUGAGGUGCAGCUGCUGGAGUCUGGGGGAGGCUUGGUACAGCCUGGGGGGUCCCUGAGACUCUCCUGUGCAGCCUCUGGAUUCACCUUCAGUGACCACUACAUGGACUGGGUCCGCCAGGCUCCAGGGAAGGGGCCGGAGUGGGUUGGCCGUAUUAGAAACAAAGCUAACAGUUACACCACAGAAUACGCCGCGUCUGUGAAAGGCAGAUUCACCAUCUCAAGAGAUGAUUCAAAGAACUCACUGUAUCUGCAAAUGAACAGCCUGAAAACCGAGGACACGGCCGUGUAUUACUGUACCACAGACACAGUGAGGGGAGGUCAGUGUGAGCCCAGACACAAACCUCCCUGCAGGGGCGCGCGGGGCCACCAGGGGGCGGUCGGGAACCACUGA